CUAAGCCGGCUUUGUGUGUUGUUCCUCCUGCUCUGCAAGUGAUUAGUUUUUAUCAUUUAUGUGGGAAGUGAAAUGCUUCACAGAUUUUUCCCCGUCUGUAUGUGACUGCAAGUUUAUAGACACCAAAACUGAGAAAAGUGGCUUUCUUUAAGUCUUCCAAAGAUGAGUGCUGGAGCUCUGAGAAGAAGAUUAGUAUUGUUAGUAGUUGUCUGGAAUGCUUCACAAGUGGUAUAUGCAGCCCAGGAAACAAAAAAAUGGGUUAAAACCUAAAAAUCUCUAUCAAAUGCAGAAGGUAAUUUCUUGAUAGUUAAGCAUUGCGCACUAAACUACCAAACUAAGGAAGGGCUGCCUUCGGACUGCGAACCCCAGCCCGACUCCUCUGACACCGUCCGGAGCUGCAGUGACUUUUCACCUUACCCAGCAUCCAUCCUGUAAAAUUAAUACACCUGGUUCCUGAGCUUCCUGAUAAAGAAACAGAUAAGUUACUCAUUCCAAAUCUUCACUUUCCAGGGAAGAUUUAAUAGAAGAAAUUAGCAGAGCACAUAUACUUAUGCUUAAAAUUAUGAGUUGCUUUUUCAUGAGACUACUUUCAUGGCAUUGAUUAUUGGGUAAAAUUAAGAAUUACUUUGCUUUUAUGUAGGCCUUCUCAAAGUUCGUGGCUGCAGGGUUCUCUUUAUGGCAGGACUAUGGGCAGGAAUGUGUAUGCAGAGCAAUGGGGAAAGGCCAUAGGAAACUUAAUUUCUAAAUAUUUGGCUAAGGAUUGUGGGCUUUUCCUUGGAGGUCUUUAAAAAUAAGGUAGAUCCUCCUCUGCUUGGAAUGGUUUAAGGGUAAAGGAAAGGAAAGGGUUAGCAGGCUGCUUAAGUCCCCAAGAGCUGUGCUGGUUUGUAUGUAGUCCAUGUCGGGGACAGAUGGAACAGUGAGUUCAACAGAUGUCACGUCUGCUGUUCCCAGGCUGUGCCCCUUUAAUGUGGCGGCCUUCUGGGAGCACUGUUCUAAAUAGUCUGCAAGAGGGAAAGGAGUGUAUCUAAACUUCUGGUAAACCUAACUUGGGUGGCUUAUGAGUUUAUAAUUUAAAACUUACUGCUACAUUUUUUUUUAAUCCAAUGAACAGAAAAGUUGCACUUUAUUCAGAAUUCCAAAAUGAGGGGGGAAGCACCCUCUAGUGUCUGAAGCCAUUUUCAAACCUUCGUCUAUUCUGAAGGAGUUGCGUUGAGGUGGCAGUCGCCAGUGUUCCCUUCAAGAAGCCGUCCUCUAAGGGACACGGGAGGAAGACAGCGGGAGGUGCAGUGGGUCAGGCGGGCCCAGGAGAAAGCGCUGUCCGACGUGUCAGAAAGGCGGACUGGUGGCGGAGGGCAGCCGACGGGUUCCUUGGGUCCUGUGCUCUGGCUUUAAUCCUCAGACUCGCAGGAGGAGAUUGCCGGCCAAUUGCUAGGCGCCCCUAUAAAAGAGGAUUGACCUAAGAUGAAGAAUGACUUUAAAGAGCGGCCAGAAUUUUCUUUAAUUCCUUCUUUAUUUGGGUCACUUUUCUCUGCAUAUGACUAUGUCUGAAAGACAUGGUUGGAUACACUCUUGAGAGGUUCUUUUUACAGGAAAGAAAGAAAAAAAUUUCUGAAGUUCCAGAGACUUCCUCCUCCACUGUCACAUUUUAUGUAAGAGUUUGAGGAGCUAAAUUCACUAGACUGUAGUUUAAACUUAAAAAAACAAAAAGACUAAUGUGUUUUAUGGUGGCAUUUUUAUACAAAUGACUCCUUGGUAGUAUACUGACCAUUUUAAAGUGCAGUCUGACCUUUCAGGGGAACACAUUUAAAUUCUCUUGAGUUUAGACACUGUACUUAGGACAAAUUAUUGUGUUCAAACCUUGCUGCCAAUCUCAGUGAUGUCUUCAUUGGGUGCUUAUUUUCAAAUAAUACCUGAACCAUCCAAAAACAGUAGACUAAAAAUUGUCAUUAAAAACAUACCAAGUUUUAAUAGCAAGCCAUGGCUACUUUUGCUGCCUUUCAUUUAUUGCCAGGUGUAUUUUAUUAGAGGGAAAGGUAAAUAAAUGUGUUUUGCAGAAAAUACGUAGGGUAAGUCAGCCCCAGUAGCAGCAAAGCUACUAUUUUUUAACUAGAUGGUGGCACAUUUACACGGUUUAUUAGUUACCUCCUCACAAAAGUUUUAGGAACACAGGGCCAAACAGAGGUCAUAAGCUUAUCCAAGCUGGCCCUGCGGGGCACUGCUUUGGUGACGCCGGACAGCUGAAGAGAAGCCGAGACGCCUUCCCUGCGUCUUCAGAUUCCAAGAGGCCUUGGCUUCACCUCCAUCUACAGUAUUUUAUUCUCCUUGGGAAGAAUUUCAGAUGAAAUUCAGACCAUCCCCUGUUAGAAGUGAUGAAGUUCCAGUUUUGAAAAAUAAAGUUCCCUAUAUUAAAAUA